rnacentral:rRNA from 1 species
AACAAACGCUGGCGGCGUGCCUAAUACAUGCAAGUCGAACGGGGAAAGCUUUCGGGUGAGUACUAGUGGCGCACGGGUGAGGAACGCGUGGAUAAUCUGCCUUAGAGUGGGGGAUAACUAGUCGAAAGAUUAGCUAAUACCGCAUAAGACCACGAGAGCUGCGGCUUUUGAGGUCAAAGGUUUUUCGCUCUAAGAUGAGUCCGCGUAAGAUUAGCUAGUUGGUGAGGUAACGGCUCACCAAGGCGACGAUCUUUAACUGGUCUGAAAGGAUGAUCAGUCACACUGGAACUGAGACACGGUCCAGACUCCUACGGGAGGCAGCAGUAGGGAAUAUUGCACAAUGGAGGAAACUCUGAUGCAGCGACGCCGCGUGAGUGAUGAAGGCCUUCGGGUCGUAAAGCUCUGUCGCAGGGGAAUAACACAAUGAAGGUACCCUGUAAGAAAGGAUCGGCUAACUUCGUG